rnacentral:rRNA from 1 species
UACGGAGGGUGCUAGCGUUGUUCGGAAUUACUGGGCGUAAAGGGCGCGUAGGCGGCCGUUUGCGUCGGAUGUGAAAGCCCGGGGCUCAACCUCGGAACGGCAUUCGAUACGGGACGGCUAGAGACCGGGAGAGGAGAGUGGAAUAGCCAGUGUAGAGGUGAAAUUCGUAGAUAUUGGCUGGAACACCGGUGGCGAAAGCGGCUCUCUGGGACGGUACUGACGCUGAGUGAGCGAAAGCCAGGGGAGCAAACGGG